GUUAUGUUUUAUGGUUGGAGGAAGUUAAUAAGUUGGCAAGUGUCAACCUCCCCUGCUUUAAACGGUUAACUUUAGGUUGCCUGAGGUAUCGUGCCCAUUGAGCGUGGAUAAGGUCGGCUGAUGGCGGGCAUUGGAAUGGUAUGAUUUAUGACGAGGGGGGAGGUGAGAGGAAGUGGUGAUUAGGAACCACGGUAUGUUUAUUGGCAAGGACGGUUGGGUUACUGUAUAACACUGUGUGUUGUUAUAUAUGUAUAUAUGUUAAUUUAUGCUUAUUUAUGUUUAACAAUUUUGGUUACAGAAAGAAGAUUUUAAAUAAAUA